UACGGCAGCAACAAGGAGACUAAUGCAUUGUCCUCCUUGUGCCAUGAAGCUCACAUGGGAGGGGCUGGCUCCAGCGGAUCGGAUCCUCAACAGACAGAAGUGAACUGGAAUGUGAACCAUUUACAGGAGGACAGUGCCCAAAUGAGGAGGGUGGGGAUUGUGGGUCUGGUGUGUGUGUGUGUGGGGGGGGGCUCUCCGUUGGCCAUCACCACCCGCUCUAAUUGCUUUCUGCUCUAGGUGGCCCGGACCCUGCAGGCAAGUAUCAACUGAGCUAGCAGCUUCCAACGUGUAACCCCUGCUCGGCUUCACCAGUCUGCCCUCUGCACCAUCAAAGCCUCUCUAGACCAUGAUCGUGGAGUGGACUGUCUGUGGACCAUCAUGGGUUCCUGUGGCAACAGCUCUAGAGGUUCUCUUGGGGCCGGCACGCCCCAGCUCCUCCCAUCUGGGCAGAUGCCGGACUCCCAAGCCCACCUUGGGAGGGAUUACUGACCCCUCAUCUGUGGUCCACCCUGAAGCCUUUCUCCUGGCCAUGGCCUCCCUGGGGGACUGUGGCUGUCCUAGGACCUGUGCUGGGUCAUUGUACGUGGCCUCCCCCACCGCCCCCAGAGAUUCCUUCACACAUGGACUUGGGGUGUGCCGGCAGGACUAGGAGGAGGCGCCUGCCCUGUCAGUACAAUGGAAAAUAAAGUCCUCUGCCGUUUGUCACCUUUGUGACUGUAUUUAACAGCAGUCCGAACCCAAGUGCGAACAUGACGUGUCUCGAUCCAAGACCUGGCAGUCAGGGCCAGCAGCACUGGACCAUUUCCGGAUUUGGUAAAUUGGGAGAUGGAGAUAAACGCCUGGAGCUAUGCUGGUGACUUCCUGGCAAACAUGUAAUUGGACUUCAGAUGCUUAGGAUAGAGAAUCAGAGCCCAUUUUAAAAUGGUAAGAGUAAUAGAAGAGACAGAGUGAGGGUAAGAAAACGGUUAUUAACUGCCAAAUAAAUCAGCAUGGAGAAGACUGGGCAAAAGUUGACCAUCCUGGGCUAGGUUAAGAGCCAAAGCCUCCCGUCUGGCUGUUUCCUUCCAACUUUUUUUUUUUUUUUUUUUAAGAUUUUAUUUUUAAGUAAUCUCUACACAAAAUGUGGGGCUCAAACCCACAACCCCAGGAUCAAGAGUCCCACAUUCCACCGACUGAGCCACCCAGGCGCCCCUGUACAUCGGUUUUUCAAGCCCACAUCCCCCAGGAGGGAGGUAUUUACUUGGUGUUAGCAGCCUGGCUGUGGUCCAGCACAGGCUCACCACUGGGAUUCCUUCUCACUCUUCAGAGGAGAGGGAGAGGAGAGGAUAGGAUUUACCAAAUCCAGUGUUCCCUGUCCUGACCAUUAGUCCGGAACCCAGCUCCCCGUGUCCCUUUAUGCCUCAUCGACUCCCUGGUCAAAAUAAGAGGGCAUAGAGUUGAAGUUGUCUUAUGGCAGUUUUCAAGAUUUUGAAAAGCCAAAUAGAAAUCAUGUCAUCAACGGUCUUAGCUCUCCAUUUAAGAAUACUGCUUCUAACUGAAGAUCUGACUGCCAGUGAAGAGAUUUCACUGUUAACACUGAGAAAAGGAAUGAACAUUUUGGCAAGCGUGGGUCCAAACAGGGUGGACCCUUUGCUUUCCUGAGCUUAGAAGCAACGCCAAGGCUCAAUGAUCCAAUAAAUAAUUUGCAGUGUUGCUGGAA